UAGGAUUUGAUUUAGAAUUUAGGAUUGGUUAGGAUUUGAUUUAGAAUUAGGAUUUGGUUAGGGUUUGAUUUAGAAUUAGGAUUUGGUUAGGAUUUGAUUUAGAGUUAGUGAAUUAUUAGGAUUUGGUUAAGGUUUGAUUUAGUAUUAGGAUUUAGUUAAGAUUUGGUUUAGGAUUUAGAAUUUGAUUAGGGUUUGAUUUAUGGUUAGAAUUUGGUUAAGUUUUGGUUUAGAAUUUAGGAUUGAUUAGGAUUCGAUUUAGAAUUAGGAUUUCAUUAGGGUUUGAUUUAGAAUUAGGGAUUGGUUAGGAUUUGGUUAAGCUUUGAUUUAGUAUUAGGAUUUAGUUUAGGAUUUAGGAUUUAGUUGGGUUUGAUUUAGGAUUUAGGAUUUGAUCUAGGAUUUAGGAUUUGGUUUAGGAUUUAAGAUUUGGUUAGGAUUUGAUCAGGAUUUGAUUUAGGAUUUAGGAUUUUAUUUGAGUUUAUUUAGGAUUUAAGAUUUAGUUAGUUUUUGGCCUAAAGUUUGAAUGAAGUCCAAUAAGAUUUCAAUUAAGAUUAAAUUAAGAUGGAAUUGAGAUUUAUUUGAGAUAUGUUUGUAAUUAUUUUAAUAUUUCUUUAAGUUUUCUUAUUAUUUCUUUAGAAUUCUUUUGAGGUUUCUCUGUAUUUGAUUAAAGUUUGUUUAGCAUUGUUAGUGUUCUAUUAGAAUUAGGACUUUGUUAUUAUAAUUUCCAUUCUACCUCCCACAGCCAGGUACUUAGAGCAUUCUCAAGCAAGACUUCACGUAUUACAACACCGUUAGUUCCAAUUUUGGCCCAAGUACCAUUUGAGAAAUAGGAAAUUGAUUUUGUUGGACCAAUUGCACCAACGUCGAGACAUAGAUAGAAGUGAUAUAUUUAAGUUACUACAAACUAUAUAACAAAAUGGACAGAGGCUAUU
rnacentral:lncRNA from 1 species